AACGAACGCUGGCGGCAUGCCUAACACAUGCAAGUCGAACGAAGGCUUCGGCCUUAGUGGCGCACGGGUGAGUAACACGUGGGAAUUUGCCUUUCGGUUCGGACUAACGUUGGGAAACCGACGCUAACACCGGAUACGCCCUUCGGGGGAAAGUUUACGCCGAGAGAGAAGCCCGCGUCCGAUUAGGUAGUUGGUGAGGUAACGGCCCACCAAGCCGACGAUCGGUAGCUGGUCUGAGAGGAUGAUCAGCCACACUGGGACUGAGACACGGCCCAGACUCCUACGGGAGGCAGCAGUGGGGAAUAUUGGACAAUGGGGGCAACCCUGAUCCAGCAAUGCCGCGUGAGUGAUGAAGGCCUUAGGGUUGUAAAGAUCUUUCGCACGCGACGAUGAUGACGGUAGCGUGAGAAGAAGCCCCGGCUAACUUCGUGCCAGCAGCCGCCGCUGUAA
rnacentral:rRNA from 1 species